rnacentral:piRNA from 1 species
UUACGAAGGCUUUUCUCUGGAAG